rnacentral:rRNA from 1 species
ACUUGCUUUCUUUGCCGGCGACCGGCGCACGGGUGAGUAACACGUAUCCAACCUGCCCUUUACUCGGGGAUAGCCUUUCGAAAGAAAGAUUAAUACCCGAUGGCAUAAUGAUUCCGCAUGGUUUCAUUAUUAAAGGAUUCCGGUAAAGGAUGGGGAUGCGUUCCAUUAGGUUGUUGGUGAGGUAACGGCCCACCAAGCCUUCGAUGGAUAGGGGUUCUGAGAGGAAGGUCCCCCACAUUGGAACUGAGACGCGGUCCAAACUCCUACGGGAGGCAGCAUG